CCUACGGGCGUCAGCAGUGAGGAAUAUUGGUCAAUGGGCGGGAGCCUGAACCAGCCAAGUCGCGUGAGGGAAGACGGUCCUAAGGAUUGUACACCUCUUUAGGCGGGGAGCAAUGCCGGGCACGUGUGCCCGGAGGGAGAGUACCCGCAGAAUAAGCAUCGGCUAACUCCGUGCCAGCAGCCGCGGUAAUACGAGGGAUGCGAGCGUUAUCCGGGUUUAUUGGGUUUAAAGGGUGCGUCGGCGGAUUUUUAAGUCAGCGGUAAAAUGUCCGGGCUCAACCCGGGCCGGCCGUUGAAACUGGGGAUCUUGAGUGUGCGAGAGGUAUGCGGAAUGCGUGGUGUAGCGGGGAAAUGCAUAGAUAUCACGCAGAACUCCGAUUGCGAAGGCAGCAUACCGGCGCCCAACUGACGCUGAGGCACGAAAGCGUGGGUAGCGAACAGGAUUAGAUACCCGGGUAGUC
rnacentral:rRNA from 1 species